GUCCACACCUGCUGCAUAUGGAAGUUCCCAGGGUAGGGGUCAAAUCAGAGCUGUAGCUGCCAGCCUACAGCACAGCCACAGCAAUUCCCAGAUCUGAGCUGUGUCUGCGACCUACAUCACAACUCAGAAUUCUUAACCCACUGAGCAAGGCCAGGGAGUGAAUUCAUGUCCUCAUGGAUACUAGUCAGAUACAGCAUCAAAUGUGAAUUAUUUUGGCUUUUGGUUAUGUGAAUUCUUGAUGGGUAUUGUAAAACUUAAGUUAUCUUCUGAUGUUUUUAUAAAAGCCUCUUUAAUUCUCUCCUUUCCUACAAAAAAAAUGGGUUAAAAGGCUUUUCUUUGAUUUUUAAUAUGGUCGGAACUUUGAGAAACAUCUCAAUCAGUAGUUAAUAAAGAUAGAGACACAUGAAGCAACUGUUCCCACAAGAGCAAUUAUAGAUGAGAUUUCUUUGGGUCCUACAUGAACUCCUCUCUCACCCAGAGGGUUACCAAUCACAUGAGCACCAUGAGAAUCUACCAAACUCAGAUUGUUAUAUUUUUUGUCAAUUUAAGCUCCAUUUAUAGAAAGGCAAGAAUUGUAGUUUAAAAACGAAGCUGGCCCACAGGGAGGAUCUCUUCAACUGGAGAAGCCCUGUUUCAUCAUUACUUUCCACAGUCUUUGAAACUGGAAAAACUCAACAGGAGCUGCACAUGUUUGGUACAUUUUUUUUUCCUUCUAAGACCUUAACAAGAGCAGAAGGGAUUCUUUUAACAUGAACUUUAUCAUAACAAAUAAAGGAUUAAUAUGAGAGAAAGAAAACCACUUUGUGGAAUGAACAAUUCACAGUGUGUUUGUUCUGUAAUAUUUUUGGAAAGCCACCCUCCUACCAAGAAAUGUGCAACUAAACAAUGCACUGCUCACCUUUGGGCCAUACCUAACAUGAAGAGUAAGUAAUGUGCGGGUACCACUGCAGCCCCUUACAUGGGAUUGCCUCCUCACUGUGGCAUGUGUCACUUUAUCUAGAAGCAAUAGGACAAGGGGUUCUGCUGGGGUCUUCAUUCAGAUCCUUCCCAUCAUUAUAAUUCUAGGGCUCUAGUUUCUGUUGUUGUCUAUGAAUGCCUGGCUCUGUUGGGGUGUGAAAAUCCUCCAAGAUAACAGUGGAGCUUUCUCAGUCUCUGCAACUGCAUUUCUUCCAAUUCCAUCUGUAUGCCCUCCAUACCUCUAUUAACCAUAAUUCUUCACUUAUGUCAUUUUCAUAAGUCUUCUGAUUCCUCAUUGCUAUUGCCUAAAUCUUAGGAAGGUUUGUAACCACUGAAAGGCACCACAUCUUUUCAGCAUCUUGAAAUAUUUGCAAAUGCAAUUUCACAUCUGCAAUGGGUAGAGAUUUAUAAAUUUCUUCAAAUUAAGAUGAAAUAAAUGCAACUUCUGAGAUGAAAGCUCAAGGUCAUUUACCCCCAGGUUUUUCCUUUGAUCCAGUAGCACGGUCACUUCCUUCUUCACUCCUUCCCAAUACGGUAGUCACCCUCCCGUACAGUUGCAGAUAUUGAAAAAUUCUGAUACAAUAUUUUAAAAUUCAUAUAUAUUGCAAUUCUAUUCAUUAAAUAAAGCAAAGACUUCUUCUCUGUUAAGGCUAUCAGCUCAACCCCCAAAUAUGUAAUUUUGUUUUCCAAAGUGUUUAUUCAUACUACUGCUAAAGCA
rnacentral:lncRNA from 1 species